AACGAACGCUGGCGGCAUGCCUAACACAUGCAAGUCGAACGAGACCAUCGGGACAAGUUGCGCACGGGGGCGUAACGCGUGGGAACCUUCCCGUAUGCUCGGAAUAACUCCCCGUAAGGGGGGCUAACACCGGAAAAUUUACGCUGAUCAAAGAUAUAUCCCCCUUGGAUGAGCCCGCGUUCGUCUAGCCAGGUGGUAGGGUAAAAGCCUACCAAGGCGUCGAUCCAUAGCGGGGCUGAGAGGCAGGUCAGCCACACUGGGACUGAGACACGGCGCAGACUCCUACGGGAGGCGGCAGUGGGGAAUCUUGGACAAUGGGCGAAGGCCUGAUCCAGCACUGCCGCGUGAGUGAUGAAGGCCUUAGGGUUGUAAAGCUCUUUUACCCGGGAUGAUAAUGACGGUACCGAGAGAAUAAGCACCGGCUAACUCCGUG
rnacentral:rRNA from 1 species